GAGAAAUUGUCUUUUAUUCUCUUUCUGAGAGAGGAACUUUUUAAGGAUCAAGAUCUCAGUUGCAGUCCAUCUUUUUUAGCAUUUAUGCAUAAUUUGGUGGUUGAAAAUUGUACCGUUCUGUUCCAAUCUGUGUGAAUUCAGUUGCAGUAUCAUUAAAACCAUUUUGAGCUACAUCAAAAGAUUUUAUAAAUGUUCUAAAUAGUAUGGCUGAAACCCUAUAGGACUGAGUAAUGUCUAAGCAUGCUAUACCACCACUGCUUUAGCGAAAGACAGUCAGUGCCCAGUGAUGCAAACAAAAGAGCUGUAGCAGUGAGGGGCAUGGGAACAGGCUUUUACCCCAACAGGAUAGGCACUCUGUCCAGGGGGAAGCUAGGAGGCUAGAAGCACGUCAUGAGCAUAUUCUCGUUUGAAGGAGGUAUUUUCAUCACAGAAGAAAGCUACAUCUGGAAAAGCUAUACCAGAUUUUAGGAUAUUUCUUGGUACUCAGCCUAGUAAGAUUUGUGUUGGCCUGCCAUUGCCACUCACUGUGAGAAGAUUCAAGUGCUCCCAAGAGCUUUCUGUUAGAGCAGGGCGGUCAGGCGCUAUGCAGGGGGAGAACUGCUGCUUGUCAGAAAACAAAGUGGUUGUAGUUGUGCUUGAUCAUUGUAUAAACAGCAUAGCACUGAGAAGUAGCACAAAAUUCACCUUGAAUCAUUAAUAUUAAAUUUAUGCGCUAAGUCUUACCCUAAUGGAGCUCAUUUACUAUACACAUAUGCUCUUUAAUUAGCAUGGCCAACAUCUGUUACAUUUUCCCCAUCUUUAAAGCACCGACUAAUAUUUUGCUCUUGCAUGCUAAUGUUUGUUAUGGCAACAAAGACUCCACUUCAAGAGGAAAGGCAAUUUUUACAUUUGUGCCUCAGAGUAACUUUAAAUCGUUUAUAGUAUUUCUAUUUAGAAUAAUUCCAGAGGUGUGUCUAUUUAUCUCUUGCAUUAAAAUUCAAGAAAAAGGUUUAGCUUUUGGCUUGCCUUGGGGGCUAAGCUGUGCAGCAGACAUGCUUCUCUGAGAUAAUUUGUUUUCUAAUUGCCAUUCGUUUGCUGAAAUACAAUUAAAGUUAUUGCUCUAAUACUAACAUCAACAUCUUGAUUGCCUUAUCAGAAUAUGAAUAUGUAUUUUUCUUACUCUGCUUAGAGACAUCUUUCACUAACUUUCUCUGAACAUGUAGCUCUUAAUUAAAGAGAAUUUUUAAUUUGUCUGUAGCAGCAUUUUCCCAUCAACUGUUACCAGUUUGCUGCAGGUUCAUACCUUACCGUUGUGUCCUGGACGAGUUCACAUUCCAGCCUUACACCUGUGCAUAUGUUAGUCUUGAAUACCUGCUUGUGCAACUCCUUUGAGUUUUGUGUAAUUGCCAAAAUUAAGUUUGAAAGCAAGGAAAUUAGGGUCAAACACAGAUUUUGUUAAGAAUGGGAAUAUGGCAAGUGGUUGUAUGAAAGCUCUGCCCAGGCGGAUUUUCUACGCCAUUAUCUAUUGAGCUUAUCUAUAUGAGCAUAUCUAUUGAGAUUAUCUACAUACAUUAUCUAUUUGUAAGGGUAAGAGUAAGGGGCACUAAACCCUCAAGAUGAGGAAGGUAUUAAUUACGCAGUGUACUUAAAAUAAUGAGGAGGAGGUGUUACUAAGCAGUACAGCUUAUUUUGUCUGUGUGUUAGAGAACCAUUUAUUUACUGUAGACAAAACAGAAUUACAAAAAAAAAAAAAAAAAAAAAGAGCACAGCCUUAUUUUUAGAAUUCUUUAUAAAUUAAUUUACUUCAAAGAUUUUUAAUGAACAGUAUUCCUUCAGUCAGUAGAAGCAGAAUGUUCUGAAAUAGUAACAGAAUUGAACAGGCCACUUGAGAUGGCAAAAAACAGAGAUACAGUGAACAAGUAGUUCUACUCAGUGAUGAAAUUGUUCUUUUUACUGAAAAGGUCCUUUUACAAUCUUUUUUUUUUUUCCUCAUUUAGUGAUUUUCCUUUUAUGAUAGUGUAUCUAUUUCCCAUACCUCGUUAGUUUCUGAGCACAUAUGAAUAUCCCACUGAGUUACAUAGAAAAUUAUUUUGAAUCUGAUAGAAAUGCAAAAUUGAAUCUUAGUUUUGAAAAAUAAUAAUGAAAUUGACGUUUAUCCUCUAGUGAGUUGUUCUCUAAAAUGAAUUCAGUGGAUAAUAAUCAGCAAAAAUUAAUCUGCAAUGUAUAUAAUUUGGGGGCGAUUGUUCCAUGUUAUAGGGUUUCAUAUCUUAAAAUGGAAACAGCAGCCUUUACAGACCUCAACGUGUGGGGAUCAAGUGUUUGUUUUCUCUGGAGGAAAACCUUUUAUAUCUUAAAGUAGGAUUUUGAAACAUGCUGAGAUCUUUCUUUUUAGUCCUUAUGCUAGCACAAGUUAAUCCAGGGGUGUUCCACAUUGCCACCAUUAUAUUAUGAUGCAGGGACACCUGACCUUGUAGCUGUGAUCAUUUCAGUUUCCUUUGGCAUAUAUCUCUGAACUGUCCAGUAGCUAUUAUUGGGACAGACAUUGAUGUCUGAGCUGAAGAUAGUUGUAUGGUCAUCAUUGGACAACAAUUAGGAACUGCAAAUGGUAGAAGAUUGCCAUAGACUGGCUGUGCUACCUGUAAAUGGAAAAGAAGGAAGACAAAAGAAAUUGUUGAAGUUCAUUAUGUUAACUGUAUGUCUGCAAAGAAGGAUGAGUAGUUGGCUAGGAUGAGAUUUUUUUUUCUACAGGUUGGAGUUUGCGUGUUGAUUUCAAACCUCUAUGUAGGUUUCAUAGUGAAUUUUAUACCAUCGUAUAACAUUAAUUCAGAUCAGACCAGAUCAUGGUGCAGAUAAGUUCUUUAUCUGUUCGUGAAGUAUACUAACACACUUUUCAAAUGGUGUUUUACUUCAUGAAUAGAUAAUCAUCAGAAUUAUUACAGGUUCACUGUAUCAGUGAAGUGGCUUUAAGAAACAGAGAACAAUCAACCUACGGAAGACAAUAUGCUAUUUAAAAAACCUGCUUCCAGACCACACAUUAACAGUUCUUAAAUUUCUUAUCUUUAGAUUUUGAGGUUUAAGAUGAAUAAUACUAAUUUUACCACAGGCUUUGGCUAUGCUUCUAGAAAAGCAGAUCUACUCUGAUGUAAUUGUUGGCUUAGAAAAAUAAAAUGCUUUUGCUGAUAGUCCUUGGAGAAAUUUUUCAAUUUAAAAAAUACCAAAACUGCCAGACAUACUCUGCUGUGAUGAAACUCUAAGGAUCACUCCUUAUUAGUGCAGCUAUUGUGGAAGUUUUUCAUAUGAGUCCUGCUGGGAUAAAAUACUUAUUUAGAAGUUUACACAGAAGUAACUACAAGCCUCGUGGAGCUUACAAGCUCUUUCAUGUUUCAAGAAACCAGUGUUUCCUAUUGCUGUGCUGUCUCAUGUUUGGAAUUGCUUAAAGUGCCU
rnacentral:lncRNA from 1 species